CACCGUAGUCGCUCCUCCCUCCACGGACUCAGGUGGACACCCCAGCCUCAGUAUCUCACCAAGCCCACACCCAGGUGGGCAGAGGGAAGAGUUCAGACUGUCUCCACUCCCUCUCGCUCUCCUGCUAGAAUGCGCUAGGAGGGUGUUGGUAGGGGCUAGGGGCCCAAGGACAGAGAGCUUGGGUUUCCCAACAGAUCAGCCCAGGAAGGAUCUGGCUGAGACCAGAGAAACGCUUUUUCCUGAAUCAAGAGACCUGCUAGGAGCAACAGCCCCUCCUCUCUGGACACUGUGAUCUGCAGGGCCCUGAGGGUUACCAGGACGAGAGUGUCAACCUGUUUUGGGGCAAUAAAAGGCUGUGAAGGAGCCCCACACCUCUCCCAACCUGGCCUGGCAUGGUUGCCAUGGGGAUGCCCCAGUUGCUCCAGAGGUGGCUUCUGGUCCCGGAAGCGGGGAUGGCAGAGACAGCCAAUCAUCGCACCGAGGCGGGUGGGGGUGAAAGGCUCACUUGAUUCACCUUUGAGAAAAAGUAUGCCAAAGA
rnacentral:lncRNA from 1 species